rnacentral:rRNA from 1 species
GACGAACGCUGGCGGCGUGCCUAAUACAUGCAAGUCGAACGCUUCUUUCCUCCCGAGUGCUUGCACUCAAUUGGAAAGAGGAGUGGCGGACGGGUGAGUAACACGUGGGUAACCUACCCAUCAGAGGGGGAUAACACUUGGAAACAGGUGCUAAUACCGCAUAACAGUUUAUGCCGCAUGGCAUAAGAGUGAAAGGCGCUUUCGGGUGUCGCUGAUGGAUGGACCCGCGGUGCAUUAGCUAGUUGGUGAGGUAACGGCUCACCAAGGCCACGAUGCAUAGCCGACCUGAGAGGGUGAUCGGCCACACUGGGACUGAGACACGGCCCAGACUCCUACGGGAGGCAGCAGUAGGGAAUCUUCGGCAAUGGACGAAAGUCUGACCGAGCAACGCCGCGUGAGUGAAGAAGGUUUUCGGAUCGUAAAACUCUGUUGUUAGAGAAGAACAAGGACGUUAGUAACUGAACGUCCCCUG